UGGGGAAUAUUGGACAAUGGGCGAAAGCCUGAUCCAGCCAUGCCGCGUGUGUGAAGAAGGUCUUCGGAUUGUAUAGCACUUUAAGUUGGGAGGAAGGGCAUUAACCUAAUACGUUAGUGUUUUGACGUUACCGACAGAAUAAGCACCGGCUAACUCUGUGCCAGCAGCCGCGGUAAUACAGAGGGUGCAAGCGUUAAUCGGAAUUACUGGGCGUAAAGCGCGCGUAGGUGGUUUGUUAAGUUGGAUGUGAAAUCCCCGGGCUCAACCUGGGAACUGCAUUCAAAACUGACUGACUAGAGUAUGGUAGAGGGUGGUGGAAUUUCCUGUGUAGCGGUGAAAUGCGUAGAUAUAGGAAGGAACACCAGUGGCGAAGGCGACCACCUGGACUAAUACUGACACUGAGGUGCGAAAGCGUGGGGAGCAAACA
rnacentral:rRNA from 1 species